AAAAGUCUUACUAUUUUUCCUCUAUAAAUUCUAUUCUUUGUAAGAAAUACAGGCCCAUUCUGAAAACAUGCUUUAUAACUCCUCACAAGUGAUCUCAAGUCAUUGCUAAAAUGAAGUGGAAGCUCACAUUUCAUGAGGUAGACUUGUUUUGAUAGUAGACUCUUGGAUUAUAUGCUCCUUACAGCCUUUUGUAUUAGCCUGGGGAGAGGAUGAUAAACAAGUGUAUGACCCAUUGUAACCACAGAGAAGAAACCAUCUUUCUCAUAUGCUGACUAUGUCCCAACCCUGAUGCCUUGCGUGUAUUCUAGCUUGUACUUCCCCACUUCCGGACUAACCAAUGAUUAUUUUUACUUAUUUACGACAGCUUUUCACCAAAAGGAAUUUGAGGCAGCUUGCAAAAUUGAUUAAUAGGAUUGGAAAACAGACUUCAGAGCCAAACUCGGAUUUUAUCUGGAAGAAAGUUUCACCACAGCACACAG
rnacentral:lncRNA from 1 species